GACGAACGCUGGCGGCGUGCUUAACACAUGCAAGUCGAACGGAGUUACGUAUGAAGUAUUUCGGUACGGACUAUGUAACUUAGUGGCGAACGGGGUGAGUAACACGUGGGCAACCUGCCCUUAACCGGGGGAUAACAUUGUGAAAACAGUGCUAAUACCGCAUAACAGAGUAUCGGGCAUCCGAUAUUUUUAAAAGGAGCAAUCCGGUUUAGGAUGGGCCCGCGUCCAAUUAGCUAGUUGGUGAGGUAACGGCUCACCAAGGCUACGAUUGGUAGCCGAACUGAGAGGUUGAUCGGCCACAUUGGGACUGAGACACGGCCCAGACUCCUACGGGAGGCAGCAGUGGGGAAUAUUGGGCAAUGGGCGAAAGCCUGACCCAGCGACGCCGCGUGAAGGAUGAAGGUCUUCGGAUUGUAAACUUCUUUGAUCAGGGAAGAAAGAAAUGACGGUACCUGAAGAACAAGCCACGGCUAACUACGUG
rnacentral:rRNA from 1 species